rnacentral:lncRNA from 1 species
AGCGGAUGUCACCCUUCCCCAAUUGCCACUAACCGGCAGCCAUUUCAAAAUGGUUUAACAGUGAAUGCACAUAUAUGCAUGGCAAUACAUCUUUCUGUAAAUUUUCAGUACAUUCAGAGCAUUUUAAAAAAAUUUCACAUUUCUGCUGUUUCCAUGGCAACGGCAGCCAUUUUGAAAAUUUCAAAGUCAAAAGUCUCAUCUUUACUUGCCAGUUAACAAUAAUAUCAAGUUUCAUUAAGUUCAAAGCAUUUUGAGAAUUUUUGACUUUUUUGCAGUUUCCAUGGCAACGGUGGCCAUUUUGGAAAUUCCAAAGUCAAAAGUAUCAUCCAGACUUGCCAGUCAACAAUCAUAUUAAGUUUGAUCAAUUUAGGAGCAUUUUGAAAUUUUUGAAAUAUUUGGUCCUGUAUCCAUGGUAACAGAAGAGUUCCAAUGAUUGUCAAAAUCAUUCAAAAGCUGUAUAUAGUGGACAACUAUAUUGUGUAAAAAUUUGAUGAUUUCAAGUUCUAGCAUACCAAAAUUAUUUACCAAACCCUGAGGUUUUUAGAGCAUUUUGACACUUAUGCACUGUUUCCAUGGUAACGGCAGACAUUUUGGAAAUUCCAACGCCAAAUUACGCAUCUACCAAAGUUGCUCAUCGUUACUAUGAAGUUUCAAAAAAUUUGGAGCAUUUUGAAAUUUUUGAAAUUUUUGGGGUAGUUUCCAUGGCAACAUAGUGGUUCCAAUGAUUGCCAAUAUCAUCCAAAACCAAUAUAUGGCUGGCACCUACAUUGUGAUAAAAUAUGAUGAUUCUGAGUUUAAGCAUCUCUAAAUUAUUCACAAAACCAAAAACUGGAAUUUUUCACAAUUGUUCCGUUUCCAUGGAAACGGCAGCCAUUUUUUAUGGUCUUAGACCCUACUGCAACCCGAAAUUUUGUGUUCCUCCUUAUAGUGAAUUAUCAUUAAGAUUGGUUCCAUUUUACUCCAAAAAACCUGUCGGACAAAAAAAGGUGGAAGAAUAAUAAUAAUAACAAAGAAACAUAAGAAAAGCAAUAUGUCACCCGACAUUGUCGAUCGGGUGACAUAACAAUAUGGA